GAAUCCUUAGAGAUAGAGGAGUGGCCUUCGGGAAUUCAGUGACCAGGUGCUGCAUGGACUGUCGUCAGCUCGUGUCGUGAGAUGUGGGUUAAGUCCCGUAACGAGCGCAACCCUUGUCCUUAGUUGCCAGCACGUAAUGGUGGGAACUCUAAGGAGACUGCCGGUGAUAAACCGGAGGAAGGUGGGGAUGACUAAGUCAUCAUGGCCCUUACGGCCUGGGCUACACACGUGCUACAAUGGUCGGUACAGAGGGUUGCCAAGCCGCGAGGUGGAGCUAAUCCCAGAAAGCCGAUCGUAGUCCGGAUUGGAGUCUGCAACUCGACUCCAUGAAGUCGGAAUCGCUAGUAAUCGCGAAUCAGAAUGUCGCGGUG
rnacentral:rRNA from 1 species